UCAAAUUUAGUGUAGGAUGACAUGCAAUAUGUGUAAAGCAGUUUCGAAACACUUCAUGCUCCUUGGGUUAUGCUUGCAGCCCUUGGUGUUGUGGUUCCAGAAAUAUUAGAUAUGCUCGGUAUAUCUCAAUUUGCUGAACCCGUUUGGUGGCGAGUGGGCUAUUCCAAACUUCAGGGAGAAACACUGGACUACCUUGGCAUCCCAGGUCUACACUUAGCCGGAGGGCGACGGGUGAUCGUCAUUGCUAUCUGUCAGGCCCUCCUCAUGGUUGGGCCAUAGUAUGCAAGAUAUUGCAGGAUCGAGGCGUUGGAACCACUCGGAAUAUACUUGCCGGGCGAUGUUAAUUAUCCAGGAGUGCUAUUUGACCCAUUGAAGCUCUCAAACGAUACUGUAGCUUUUGAGGAGCUGAAGGUGAAGGAGAUUAAAAAUGGGAGGCUGGCCAUGGUUGCUUGGUUAGGCUUUUAUUUCCAAUCGGCUUUGACAGGUAAAGGCCUUGUAGAGAACCUAGUUGACCACAUCGCUGAUCCAUUUCAUAAUAACCUAUUUUCCCUACCAAAUUCCAUGUAAAUACAUUAUUAUGUAUGUUGUCAUAGAUAUAU